UACAGAGGGGGCAAGCGUUGUUCGGAAUUACUGGGCGUAAAGGGCGCGUAGGCGGCCUUCUAAGUCAGACGUGAAAUCCCUCGGCUCAACCGGGGAACUGCGUCUGAGACUGGAAGGCUUGAAUCCGGGAGAGGGAUGUGGAAUUCCAGGUGUAGCGGUGAAAUGCGUAGAUAUCUGAAGGAACAUCAGUGGCGAAAGCGCCUUCCUGGACCAAUACUGACGCUCAUGUGCGAAAGCGUGGGGAGCAAACAGG
rnacentral:rRNA from 1 species